UGGAUGAAUUCGCUUUUCUAGAAGGCACUUUGGAUUGAUUAUGGAGCUGGAUGAUUUUGUGAGCCUUUGCUGCAUCCGUCGUUUUUCCCCUCUGUGAGCCUCAGCUUUGGAGAGUGUCUGCGCAUGUAUACGAUCUUCCUGUAGAUGGAAGAAGCAGAGAGCUCUUGGAUAGCAUUCUCCAUAAAGUCUUCCAUUACUUGAGUCUGUCUUCCAAUUCAGGCCUGGAUGUAGCUGAUGCUGUUUGGGGCAGAGAUGAAAGGACCGUUCUGCAUAGGUGGUUUAAUGAUCACAGAAGACUGGAAUAAAUGUCUUUGGUCGGCUUCGUUCCUGUGUUUUAUAUUGCCUUUGCUCUUGCCCUGUGACUGGGAACCCGUGUGGUCAGGCACAGACUUUCCUCAUCUUUCAAGCAACCAUCCCAAGUCAAGUCUUUAUUAACUUUGUUCUUUCUAAGCAUGUCAUUGGUAUGUGGG
rnacentral:lncRNA from 1 species